rnacentral:rRNA from 1 species
GAUGAACGCUAGCUACAGGCUUAACACAUGCAAGUCGAGGGGUAACGAGAGGAAAGCUUGCUUUCCUUGUCGACGACCGGCGCACGGGUGAGUAACGCGUAUCCAACCUGCCCCCAACUAGGGAAUAACCUUGCGAAAGUAAGACUAAUACCCUAUAAUUUCCUCAGAUGUCAUCUGACAAGGAAUAAAGAUUUAUCGGUUGUGGAUGGGGAUGCGUCUGAUUAGCUUGUUGGCGGGGUAACGGCCCACCAAGGCAACGAUCAGUAGGGGUUCUGAGAGGAAGGUCCCCCACAUUGGAACUGAGACACGGUCCAAACUCCUACGGGAGGCAGCAGUGAGGAAUAUUGGUCAAUGGGCGGAAGACUGAACCAGCCAAGUAGCGUGCAGGAUGACGGCCCUAUGGGUUGUAAACUGCUUUUAUACAGGAAUAAAGUUAGCCACGUGUGGUUAUUUGUAGGUACUGUAUGAAUAAGGACCGGCUAAUUCCGUGCCAGCAGCCGCAGUAA